GGGAGGCUGCAGUGGGGAAUAUUGGACAAUGGGGGCAACCCUGAUCCAGCCAUGCCGCGUGAGUGAUGAAGGCCUUAGGGUUGUAAAGCUCUUUCACCGGUGAAGAUAAUGACGGUAACCGGAGAAGAAGCCCCGGCUAACUUCGUGCCAGCAGCCGCGGUAAUACGAAGGGGGCUAGCGUUGUUCGGAUUUACUGGGCGUAAAGCGCACGUAGGCGGAUAUUUAAGUCAGAGGUGAAAUCCCAGGGCUCAACCCUGGAACUGCCUUUGAUACUGGGUAUCUUGAGUAUGGAAGAGGUGAGUGGAAUUCCGAGUGUAGAGGUGAAAUUCGUAGAUAUUCGGAGGAACACCAGUGGCGAAGGCGGCUCACUGGUCCAUUACUGACGCUGAGGUGCGAAAGCGUGGGGAGCAAACAGGAUUAGAUACCCCAG
rnacentral:rRNA from 1 species